rnacentral:rRNA from 1 species
UACGUAGGGGCCGAGCGUUGUCCGGAGUUACUGGGCGUAAAGCGCGCGCAGGCGGCCAUCUAAGCCCGGCGUGAAAGCCCCCGGCUCAACCGGGGAGGGUCGUCGGGGACUGGGUGGCUUUGAGGACGGCAGGGGCUGGUGGAAUCCCGGUGUAGUGGUGAAAUGCGCAGAUAUCAGGAGGAACACCAGAGGCGAAGGCGGCGAACUGGACAGUAACUGACACUCAACUGCGAAAGCGUGGGGAGCAAACAGG